UCUGAUUACCAUUAGCACCAGGCAUGCUUGUUGCUGCUACAACAACUAUGGUAUAUGUUACAAUCCUGAAAUAGUUUUAAGUAUAGAUGUCCACUCAAAAAAGGGAUAGAAUAACUGCAAAUAACAAAACCAAAUAUAAACAAACAAAAAAAAAACAAUUUGGAGAAAAUAAGCCCCUCACCUACAACAUUCCACCAGGAAACUCCUGAACAAAUCCUCCAUAAUGGCAAUCCGGUCAGAGUAGUGAACUGACAACAUAUUUCAGUGACCAUUUCACCGCUCUUGACACUUGGCCACCAUGAAGAACAAAGUUUCCAUCAGGAGAAUCCCUUCCUUGCCUAGCUCCUUAGUAAAUCCCCCGUAUUGGCAAUCUCUUCAGAGUAGUGAGUUGACCACAUUUUCCAGGGACCAUCCCACCACUCUUGAUAGUUAGCCAAUAUAGGUUUUGUAAGUAUUCCAUUUUGAAAGUAUUGGAAAUCACAGUUUGAGCUGAAUACAUCAAACCGAAAAAUUGCGAAUCCUUAUGUGUGGGAGGCCUGCGGAACCAUGGCUAGUCUCUCAACAGCUGUUGACCAGCUGAUUACAAAACAGAAGACGUUGGCAUUUCCUUUGCCCAUUAUUUUCGUGCAAAAUUUCGAACGUUAUGCGAAGGUUUCAUGAACUUGAUGACACAAGAAAAAGAGUUUUUGUAGAAAAUGUGAAUAAAACUUUGCUUUAACCCUUAGCUGUUAUACGAGAAUGAGACCAAGAAGAAAAGUUAUUUUAACAACUUAACUGUUGUUGAUUUUAGGCUUGAUGCUUAUAAGAUCUG